rnacentral:rRNA from 1 species
UGGGGAAUUUUGCGCAAUGGACGAAAGUCUGACGCAGCGACGCCGCGUGGGUGAUGAAGGUCUUCGGAUUGUAAAGCCCUGUCGUGGGGAACGAAAACUUCCAUAGCUAAUACCUAUGGAACGUGACGGUACUCCAAAAGGAAGCACCGGCUAACUCCGUGCCAGCAGCCGCGGUAAUACGGAGGGUGCAAGCGUUGUUCGGAAUUACUGGGCGUAAAGCGCCUGUAGGCGGUUUAAGUAGUUGGGUGUGAAAUCCCUGGGCUCAACCCGGGAACUGCGCCCAAAACCAUUAAGCUUGAGUGCCAAAGGGGUACGUGGAAUUCCCAGUGUAGCAGUGAAAUGCGUAGAUAUUGGGAGGAACACCGGUGGUGAAGACGACGUACUAAGUGGCAACUGACGCUGAGAGGCGAAAGCGUGGGUAGCAAACAGG